UUUAACUUUAAACGUGCAUCAGUCUAGUCAGCUGAUUGCACCGAUUGCACAUAUACAUUUACAAUAUUGUGCAUAUUUACGAAAAUAGAUUACAUUGGUUGUUUUAACGACUUUUUGCUUGUGAGUAUUAGUGCUCAAAGUAGGCCUGGAAAAAAUCUGAUUUUUUCAACGGCCAUUAUGUUUCCACCUUUUUUAGUUGCAGCUUCGUGAAAUGAACAAUAUAAAACUUUCGCCAGUUAGAUCUGGUGCAAUCGGCAUCCAUGAGCGACCAAAGGCAAAGGCAGCUGGCAAUUUCCUAAGAGUUUUGAGCAUCGGAUCAUCAACUAAGAUUUCGAUCACCAGAUUCCAGAUCAUCAGAUCACAGUAAAUGCUGAAGGUUGAGAAUUGCGUUCUAAUGUUUUACGAAUUCGGAUGUCUAGGACGCUGUCCUCGCGAUUGCUGACUUUAAGUGAUAUAAAUAGUGCAAAGUGUAAUAAAUAUAUGUAUGAAG